AUGUUUCAUAAUAUCUUGUGAACGCGUCUUGACAAUCUAACCAUUUAUUUGAUAUGUCUGUUUCGCGUCACAAUGAAUGCGUCUGUCGUCACAAUGAAUGCGUCUUGAUAAUCUGUCGAUCUAUUUGACAUGUCCCGCGUCACAAUAAUUUACAAUAAUUUAUCACUUUUAAUGUGAAUAUCUUCCAAUCCACCGCCUUGCUUGGUCUGCCAAGAGACCAACGCAGCUAGCUCCGCCGCUUCACGUUAUCUUCCACGGGAACAUACAAUCCUUGAAAAAGUAGAGCAUCAUCAAAAAGGCAAGCACAACAGGAGCGCCACUGCAUCAUAACUAGAAACAGCAAUUGAAAAAGGAGUAACACGCAAAAACAGAGAAACUUCAGUCUUGGUUGGAAGACUUCGGGAACAGGGCUGACGCUUUCAAAGGAGAGAAUAACAACAACUAUCCUGCAAUUAGCUGAUCACAGCCAUCAUCACCAAAAACUUGACCAUCAGGGAAGAAGAUUGGCUACAUGUUGCCCUUUCCGGCCGUGACCCAAACUAAAGCUUAACUUCACCAAACGGAGGAUUAAAAACUCAAAAGUGAGACUAAACAGUUAAAAAACAAAAGAAAUCGUUUGUCUUGUCUGGUCAUUAUUGCAUCCUUUAAGAAAAUAAGAAAAGACUGGUACACAAAGAAAGUGUGCGAAGAGAGGAAAGUUCGGAAAAGAGUUCGGUCUCCGGUUUUCGAUUUCACCUUCUCGUUGGUAGUUCUGUGAUAUUGUUGGUGUUUUCCUCUACCUCUAGGCAAGGGAAGGGAGUUUUGCUUGUACAGUUUUAGUCGGCAUGUUGUGGAUGGUUUCCCUCGCCGUCUUUCCUUUGAUGACUUCUGUGGGUUUGCUUUGGUUUUUGCUUGGCUUUGCCUCUAGAUUGCUGAAUGUGCAAGGGAUAAGGUAAGGAGACUAAAAAAAAUAUUUGCUUAAUGAAAAUUAACUUGUUUAAUUAUCGGUUAUUAUAUUUAAAAUAAAAUUUAUUAAUUUUAUAUAUAAUUAAUAUUUAAAAAGUUAAUAUUUAUAUAGUACCUUAUUCAAUUUAAAAAAUAUAAUCUAAUUAAAUUUUUAUAUUUUUAUUCAAGAAUUUAGAUUAUAAUUUACUCAAAAAUCAAAUAAAAUUUUAUUCAAUAUAAUAUUUUUUAAUAAUAUAAUAUUAUUUUAAUAUAAAAAAUUUAUUUUUAUAAAAGUUUUAAAAAUUAUUUACUAUUCUAUUUUUUAAAAUUUAUAUUAAUUAAAAUACUUCUCUUUCUAUUUUAUAAUUUUUUAUUAUUUAUUAUUUUAAAAUUAUUAUUUAUUUUUUUAACUAUAAUACAUAUAAAUUUAUUAUUAUAAUUUUAUUUCGUUUUUUAAAAAAAUGUAAAAUAUUUAUUAAUAUUUAAUAAAAAUUAAUAUAUUUAAAAUGAAUAUAAUUGAAAAUUUAAUAAAAAAAUAUUUAUAAUUUUAAUAUAUAUAAAAAAUAAAAUAAAUAAAAAUUAUAAAAAAUAAUAAUUUUUUAUAUUUAAAAUUAUAAAAAUUAAUAUUUUAUUAUUAAAAAUAAUAUUAUAUUAUAUAAAAAUUUAUUUGACAUUCUAAUUAGUUAAAAAAAUUUAUUUUGUUUUUUAUCAAAAAAGUUUUAUUUAAUUUUAAACAAAUUUAUAUGAAUUUAAUUCAACUUAUUUCUAUGAUUUAAGAGUACAACAAAUAUUCGGGCCGACAAACAUUUGCGACUUGCGAAACGCGUGCUUCGCUUUCACCCAUGUUCAUCACGGUGAGCACGUGCCAAAGAUCCACAAUCAUAUGUGAAAGGUUGACCGCUACAACGUUUUUUUCGUUUACGGCCAAUAGUUGCGUGUCGGAAAUCGAUAUGCCAGAGAAGGAAAAAUCCGAUUUGAUGUCUUUAUUUCCCUCUUCUUAUGCUCUCUAUUAGUGGGGAAGACUCGUAUUCCUUGAAAGUGGAAAGUGCUGCUCCAGUCAAGAUUAAUCAAUUCUUGUAAUAAUAUCGAUCUUAUUAUUCUAUUAUUUUCAUGUCAGGGAAGAUGGUAAUAGCAUUUUAGAAAUAACAUGGGUAGAAGAGAGUUCAUGGUGAAGUCUGGAUUUUUGUGUUUCUUCUUGUUCAAUUUGUUCUCAUUUGCGUAUUGUUCUGUAAUUUAUAACAUAACUACAACCAGAGCUGUCUCACCAGAACAAACUCUAAACUCUCCUCGUCAAAUUUUUGAGUUGGGUUUCUUUACUCCUAACAAUAAUUCUCGUAAUCAAUACGUGGGAAUGUGGUUUAAGGAAGCUUCUCCUCAGACUGUGAUUUGGGUGGCAAACAGAGAGAAUCCCAUUACAUCUUCCUCAGCGAGUCUCACAAUUGGCAGUGAUGGGAAUCUGAGGCUUCUGGAUGGGCAGAGGAACACUAUCUGGUCGACGAAUAUUUCUAGGCAAUCGAAUAGUUCAAUUGCUGUGCUCUCAGAUGACGGAAACUUCAUUUUGAGGAACAGUAUAACAGGAGAUGAUCUAUGGAAAAGCUCUCAGCAUCCGACUGAUUCUCUCUUUCCAGGCACAUGGUUAGCCUACAAUGAAACAACUGGGAUGAGACUUGCUUUAACUUCCUGGAAAAGUAACAAUGAUCCAUCUAUUGGGGACUUUACUGCUGGUGUACCACCGUUGACACCGCCACAAGCCUUCGUUUGGAAGGGAUCGAAACCUCACUGGAGAAGUGGGCCGUGGGGCAAAACCAAGUUCAUCGGAACACCAGAAAUGGAUGCUGAUUAUAAAAGUGGAUUCACAGUUAUAGAAGGUCUUCAGCCUGGAAUUGCUUAUCUCACUGUUAGUGUACACAGGAACUGCAGUUACUCAAUGUUUGUGGUUUCACCAGCAGGAGUUUUAAGGUUCUUGUGUUGGCUGAAAGAGAGGGGCUGGUUUGUAAGGUGGGAGGCACCAGUCACUCCCUGUGAAGUCUAUGGAGCCUGCGGACCGUUCGGGGUUUGCCAGAGAUAUGCACCAAAUCUAACCUGUAGAUGCUUGAAAGGGUUUGUGCCAAAGUCGGACGACGAAUGGAGGAAAGGAAACUGGACCGGAGGAUGUAUCAGGCGAACUGAAUUAAGUUGUGGGGGAAAUACAAGUUCUGUUAAUGCACAAGGAGGAAAACCAGAUGGAUUCUUGAAGGUUGGUGGGUUAAAACUUCCUGAUUGGCAUGUAUACUUGAAGGUUUUAGACAAAAACGAGUGCCAUCAGCGUUGCUUGAGUAACUGUUCUUGCUCAGGUUAUUCAUAUGUAGAUGGAAUAGGCUGUUUGGUUUGGACAACAAACCUUUUGGAUAUGCAUGAGUUACCCUUUGGUGGACAAGAUCUUAAUCUUCGCCUUGCGCUUACAGAAUUGGGUGAAAGUAAUUACAAUUGAACAACUUGUGAAUUUCUUUGUUUCCAUUUUAUUCUUUUCUUGCACAGGGAUUACUAAUUGGGAUCAUUGUCAGUGUUAUUACUGUUUCAUCUGUCAUCCUCAUUGGUUCCAUGAUUUGUUGUUUCAUGAGGUGGAGAGCGAAGAAAAGGUCUAAGCCUAAAACAAAUGGUAAGAAACUGAUUGCUACUUUAAUGAUGUUGUACAAUGAUCAGGCAACUAGAUUUGACUUAAAUGUUGAAUUUGAAAUGGAUAUGUUCAUAUGAUGUCUAGUAACAAACAACCAAUGUUUUACAAGACAUUAUAGAAAAAGUCCUUAAAAAAAAGUUUUGGCAGCUUAAAGUGCUAAUAAAGGCUAAGCUUAUUGAUUUGAAUUUUGUGCUUACUGAUGGAUGCUAAAGAAACACAAACGCUUUGAUUUUGCAGCUCCAAGUGACACGUCUAGAGAAAAUGAAGAUUCAAUAGAGUUGCCUUUAUUUGAUUUCAAUAACAUAAUGCUUGCAACUAACAACUUUGAUAUAGAGAACAAACUUGGGCAAGGAGGCUAUGGUCCGGUUUACAGGGUAGGUACUUCAAUUUUCUUUUCCAAAGGCAAAAAUGUUUUACUUCAUUGGAGAAAAUAAAACAUGGAGUGUUAUUUUGUAUGGAUAUUAGGGAACAUUAGAUGGGAAGGAUGUGGCAGUUAAAAGACUUUCUAGUAGCUCUAGUCAAGGCAUAGGAGAGUUCAAGACUGAGAUGAAGUUGAUCUCCAAACUCCAACACAGAAAUCUUGUCAGGCUCUUAGGUUGCUGCAUUGAAAGAGAAGAGAAGAUAUUAGUUUACGAAUACAUGCCGAACAAAAGUUUAGAUACUUAUCUAUUUGGUUGGUUUUCCUUCUGAUUUUUUUUUUCUAAUUUCUUAUAAUCAUUUUAUUUUGUAGUGCGUGUAAAAUGAACUUAUGUUAUCAUAUAUAUUGAUCAGAUACAACAAGAAAGGCUGAGCUUGAUUGGACUAAACGUUUUAACAUUAUAAUGGGAGUUGCUCGAGGACUUCUUUAUCUUCAUCGUGAUUCUUGUUUAAGGGUUAUACAUAGAGAUUUAAAAGUGAGUAAUAUUCUUUUGGAUGAGAAGAUGAAUCCAAAAAUAUCAGAUUUUGGUUUAGCAAGAAUUUUUGAAGGCACACAAGAUUUGGGAAGCACUCACAAGGUUGUAGGAACAAUGUAAGCAAUUUUAUUUACCAAAAUGCUUGCGCUUUCAUGCUAGCUGGUAACAUCGUCCAUAAAACAUAACGUACAAGUGCUAAAUACUUUAGUUCUCUUCUCAAAUACAGAGGUUAUAUGGCUCCAGAAUAUUUGUUUGGUGGCAUAUUUUCAGAGAAAUCUGAUGUGUUCGGCUUUGGAAUAUUGAUCUUGGAAAUUGUCAGUGGUAGGAAGACUAGCAGCUUCCAAUAUGAUGAACAAAACAUGAGUCUUCUAUCUUAUGUAAGUCAGCACUAUAAUCACAUUGAUGUUGUUCUUUUUCCUUGAUUUAGAUUUCGAACUUAAUUGGGAAGAAAAUGCAAAUAUUUUGCAGGCAUGGCAAUCAUGGUCUGAAAGCAAGGGUGUAAGAAUGAUAGAUGAAGCAUUGAUGGACUCAUUUUCCUCUACAGAAGUAAGCAGAUGUGUAAAUAUUGGACUUUUAUGUGCACAAGAUCAUGCUGCUGAUAGGCCAUCAAUGGCAGCCGUAGUUUCUAUGCUAAGCGGUGAAAAAACAAAGCUUCCUGAACCAAACCAGCCUACUUUUACGUUUAAAAGUAUCUCCACCAGCAAUUUUCAAUCACAAAGCAACUCUACACCGUCUGUAAAUAAGGUCACGGAAUCAAUUAUUGAACCUCGAUAAACGCCAACUUGUCGGUUAGCUUGUAUUAGACUUUGACAAUCUCACGCUUAUCCUUGUUUUAGAUUUUUGUCAUACCUAGCUUGAGAUUAUUAGGGCUGUGUAAUCGGUUAAUUCAAUUUCGAAUCGAAUCUAAUUAAAAAAAUUGAAAAUUGAAUUGUAAAAAUAUUAAAAAUUGAAAAAAUAGAUUAUAAAAAUAUAAUCGAAUUGAAUUAAACUGAUAAAAAUCGGUUCAGCUUAAAUUAAAAUUUAUAAUUUUUUUUAAUUUUUUAAUUCUAAAAAAACUAUAUUGCAAAAUUUUCAAAUGCGUCCACGAAAAACCAAACGAUUAGUAAUUUUUAAUAAUAAAAAUAAAAAAAUAUAUAUGAAUAUUUAUAAUAAUAUCAAACAUACAAAGAAUUCUGAUAAAAUAAAAAUAGAAGAUAGAAUAAAAAUAGAAGAAGUGUCUUUGCUAAUAAAACUUUUGCCAAGGCAGAAUAAAAGGAUAGUAAAAUAAUUUAAUAAAUAUUUCACAUAAAUUUAUUAAUAAAUAUUAUCUGAAUAUAUAAUAAUAAUAUUUAAAAAAAUUCAUAUAAAUCUAUAUAAAAUUUAAAAGUAUAAAUAAAAUUAAUAUUUUAAAUAAUAAAAAUAUAUAUAUAAUUGAUUUUUUUAAUUUUUCGAUUAUUUAACACGUUUAAAUCAAAUCGAACUAAAAAUCUAAUAAAUUGAAAAAUAUUAAUCGAAUCGAACUUUCUGAUUAAUCAAAUUAUUAAAUUGAAAUUAAUUGUUUCGAUUUAAUUUUUCAAUUCAAAUUGAUUUAAGCUCACCCUAGAGAUUAUUGAGUGUAUACAUUAUCUCACUAUUUGAAAUGAAAAAUUUUAUAAAAAUUUAAUUUAAUUGAUUUUUUGAAUAAUUUUCUUAUUUGUAAUAAAAAAAAUUAAUUCUUUUUAGUUUAAUUGAAUCUAAGUUUGUGGAUUUGAAUUUGGCCUUUAGACUUUUAGGCCUAUAUCUCCUUUUCUUUUGGCCCAUUAGGCCUUUAAAUACAAUUGUAACAGCAUGUUGAAAAAAAAAAAAACCUGCAUCAGUCCAAUUUAAAUCAGCAAUUUCUUAAAAAAUAAUUUGUUGGACUGGACCAAAUCAAAAUCAAACUGAAGUCAAAAUUUGAACUCUGCUCUCCAGUCUCCAAUUCUUGAUUUCAGGAAUAAAACAGAAUCAGACCAGGUCUAACUAGGGGAGAGCAUAAAUCGGUCUGAACCGAAAAACCGAACCGAACCGAUCAAUUUCGGUUUAAUGGUUCGGUUAAUCAAAAUGUUUGGUUAGGUUCGAUUAAUAUUUUUCAAUUUAUUCAGUUUUCGGUUUGGUUCAGUUUAAACGUGUUAAAUAAUCGAAAAACCAAAAAACCAAUUUUAUACAUAGAAAUACUGAUUUUAUAUAUAUUUUUAAAUUUUAUAUGAAUUUUUAUGGAUUUUUUAAAUAUUAUUAUUAUGUAUUCAAACAAUAUUUAUGAAAUUUAUGUGAAAUAUUUAUUAAAUUAUUCUACUGAAAUUAAAAAUAGAAAAUUAAAAAAAAUUACAGAUUUCGGUUUGAAUCGAACUGAACCGAAUCGAUUUUUAUCGCUUCGAUUCGAUUUGAUUAUAUUUUUAUAAUCGAUUUUUUUGAUUUUUAAUAUUUUUAUACUUCGAUUUUUUAUUUUUUCAAUUCGGUUCGGUUUAAAACCGAACCGACCAAUUGCACAGCCCUACUCUAACAGGAGAAAUUAGUUAUUUUUAUCUUUUUGUUAUUGGGUUGAAGUUGGGGAGUUUUGGAUUUAUUUUAUUUUUGAUCAAUGUCAAAACUUUAUGCUGAUUUAUGAUAUAGCCUUUAAAAUAAAUUAUAAAAAAAUAAUUAUUUUACACAGAAUAUAUAUUUAUUAUUUUAUUUUUAAUUAUACAAUACAAUAUUCAUCUGUAAUAUUUUUUAUUUUCAGAAUUGUAUUAUAAGUUUUUUAAUUUAUAAAAUUCUUAAUUAAUUAUGUUAAACAUUUAUUAAAAAAUAUUUUAAAGAUAUAAUUUGAAUAAUUUAAUCUAACAAGUUAAUAAAAAAUUUUUGAUAGUCAACCUUUUUAGUUAAUUUUUGAUAGUUAAUUUUAGCUAAGUAAUAGCAGUUGUUGUAAUUUUAUAUUUAAAAAAAAUUAAUAAAAGUUUAUAUAAUUUUUUUUUGAAAUGGGAAUUAGAGAUAGUUAGAGUAGAAUUUGAAAUUUCUCAUAUUUAUUCGGAUACACUGACCAUCAGAUUAAAUAUGUGAGUGUGUUUAUAUAAUUUUAUAUGCUCUUAAUUUUUUUUAAAAAAUUUAUUUAUAGAUUAUUUUUAUUAUUAGAAAUAUUAUAUUUCGACUUUUUUAAGUAGUAUUAUUAAACAAUAAUUGUGCCUACUAAUGGUGCAAAUUAUAUUUUUAUUAUUUUAUUUUAAUCAUGUAUCGUAAUUUUUAUUUUAAUAUUUUAUAUUUUCAAAAUUAUAUGAUAAGAUUUUGUUAAUUAUAGAUUAUUAACUGAUUAUGUUAAAAAUACAGUUGGUAUGUUGGUAUAAGGUAUUCCUGGUGAGGCUGUCAUCUGGGUCGCUAAUAGAGACAAACCAAUUUCUGAUACAAAAGGGGUCUUCACAUUCGAUGAAGAUGGGAAUUUGAUAGUUAUGGACGGAAACAAUGUUUCAGUUUGGGCGAGUAAUCCUCCAGUUCGAGCUAACGAUUCAGUUGCAGUUCUUGAAAACGAAGGUAAUCUCAAACUAUCCAGCAGUCUUAAUAACGUUGCCUAUUGGGAAAGCUCUAAUUAUCCGACGGAUACGUUUUUGCCAAACAUGAAAAUUAUAGCUUCAUCGGGAGAGCAAAAGCACUUCAGUUCUUGGAAAUCUGCAAGUGAUCCUUCACCGGGAAACUUCACCAUGGGAGUUAAUUCUACCGGAGCAGCACAGAUGGUUUUGUGGGAGAAUUCAAGAAGGCGAUGGAGAAGCGGGUACUGGAAUGGACAAAUAUUUACAGGCGUGCCAAAUAUGACAGCACUAGCUAAUUACAGAUAUGGAUUUAAGUAUAUAAACAACGACAAUGGAAAUGAUUACUUUACGUAUAAUCCAUCAAAUGGUUCAGAUUUGAUGAGGUUUCGAAUAACUUGGGAUGGAUAUGAAGAACAGUUGAAAUGGAAUGAAAGCAAAAAGAAUUGGGAUGAGAUGCAAAAACAGCCAGCAAAUAACUGUGAACUUUACAAUUAUUGUGGCGAUUUUGGGGUCUGUAGAGCAUUAGCUGACCCAGAAUGCAGAUGCAUGGAUGGGUUUGUUCCAAGGAAUCCAGAUCAAUGGGCAAAGAAAAAUUGGUCAGAUGGGUGUGUGAGAAGUAGAGAAUUGCAGUGCCAGAAGAAUAUCAGCACAGCAGAAGAAGAUGGGUUUAAAGAGUUAAAAUGCAAUAAAUUGCCAGAUUUUGCUGUUGUCUUCUCUCAGGAUCUCUCGGAUGCUUGUAAGAAAAGGUGUUUAAGCAAGUGUUCAUGUAAUGCUUAUGCAAGAGUUGAAAAUAUUGGAUGCAUGAUAUGGAAUGGUGACUUGAUUGAUGUCCAGGAUUUUGGCAAACCUGGGAUUGUUAUGCAACUUCGUCUCGCUGGUUCUGAAUUUGGUAACACCAUUGCCCUUUUUUUUGUGUGUGUGUGUGUGUGUGUGUACUAGAAUUCCAGUAAUGUUUAUGAAUAAAAAGAGAGAAAAUAAGAAAUCUUGGAACAAUCUUUGAUGUUCUGAUUUGUUUACUUAAUGCAGAUAAAAAGGGAUUGUCUGCAGCUGUGAUUGUAGUGAUUGUUGUGGCUGGAGUCGUCUUCUUAGCUAUAUCUGUAUGGCUACUCUGGUGCCUAAAAAGAAAACUCAAAGGUGGGAUUUUUAAAUUUCUUGUUUGUUCAGUUAAAGUUAAAAGGUUGCAAGAGGCACCUUGGGGAGCAUAUUCUAACAUAUUUCUUUGUUACCCUUUUCCUCAGCUGCUGUUUUGCCCACAGCUGCCUCAGUUUCAUUGAUGAGAAAGAGUGAGGUACCAUUUUCAGACAUGAGCAAGAGUAAAGAGUAUUCAUCGGAGAUGUCUGGACCGGCUGACCUAGUCAUUGAUGGGAGCCCAGUAAAUGGUCCUGAUUUGCCAUUGUUCAAUUUCAAUUCUGUAGCAGAAGCUACAAACAAUUUUUCUGAAGAAAACAAACUUGGGCAGGGGGGAUUUGGUCCUGUCUACAAGGUGAGUGUUUAUUUUACUCAUGUGGCAUGGAAUUUGGAAACCAGAGAUUAAGUAUUGAAGAUAAUAACUAUCUCUUAACUUUUAUGACAGGGAAAGCUUCCUGGAGGAGAAGAAAUAGCUGUAAAGAGGCUGUCGAAAAUCUCUGGCCAAGGUUUAGAGGAGUUCAAGAAUGAAAUCAUAUUGAUCGCGAAAUUACAACACAGAAAUCUUGUUAGAUUACUAGGCUGCUGUAUUCAGGGAGAAGAGAAGAUGCUGCUUUAUGAGUACAUGCCAAACAAAAGCUUGGAUUGCUUUCUUUUUGGUAAAUUUCUUUUACUUGCAUGUUUGCUUAAACUCCGUGUGAAGAGACAGAAAUCAUUUUCAUUUUAUUGUGAAAACAAUGGCAGACCCCACAAAGCAGGCAUUAUUAGACUGGAAGAAGAGGUUCAAUAUCAUUGGAGGGAUUGCUAGAGGUCUUCUUUAUCUCCAUCGAGAUUCAAGACUCAGGAUCAUUCAUCGGGAUCUAAAGGCUAGCAACAUAUUGUUGGAUGAGGAAAUGGAUCCAAAGAUUUCAGACUUCGGCAUGGCCAGAAUAUUUGGGGGAAACCAAAAUGAAUUGAACACGAAUCGAGUUGUUGGCACAUAGUAAGUACAAAUUGUCUUGUCAGAUGAUCCAUAAUUCAAUUCUGGCAAACAAUUUUAGUCUUGAUGUAAUGUGUCACUUUUUCAAAAUGCAGUGGUUAUAUGUCGCCUGAAUAUGCAAUGGAAGGCCUAUUUUCAGUUAAGUCAGAUGUCUAUAGCUUUGGAGUCUUACUAUUAGAGAUCGUGAGUGGCCGGAGGAACACCAGCUAUCGUUUAACCGAUCAUCUCAGCCUCAUCGCUUAUGUAAGUACAUCCGCCAUGAUUUCUAUUUAAGCUUAUCAUUGUUCAUCUAUAGAAGGUUAAUGUUAGUUGAUCUCAGGCAUGGGAGCUUUGGCAUGAAGAUAAAGCAAUGGAGCUAGUCGAUCCUUCUAUUCGAGAUUCGUGUUGCGAGGACGAAGUCUUAAAAUGCAUACAAGUAGGAAUGUUAUGUGUGCAAGAUUCUCCAGUUCAGAGACCAACAAUGUCAUCUAUCGCGUUAAUGCUCGAAAGCAAUAGUCCAACCUUGCCAUUGCCUAGACAACCUACUUAUACUUCAGUCAGAACUUCCUCCAUAGAUACAUCUGAAAUCUAUCUUGAAGGUCAGGAAAUUGUAUCCUCAAAUGAUGUGACUGUUACAAUGAUUGAUGGAAGAUGAUUACCAUUUUGUUUCCCUUAGCAACAUUUUUCUAUGUAAUUCAAUUACAUAUCAACAUCUGUAUAGAGUUUUUGAAUCAAUUUUUCAUUCUGGAAUUUGUUUCCGUUAACUUUUUAGCAAGAAAUUCCAGAACUAGCAAUGACACGGAGUUGAGUUGAAGCUUUCUCAUUACAAGACUAGAGAAUGAGAAGUCAAAUGUUUUGUUGAUCAGCUCAGGACAAAAAUGUACCCAUCUCCUUCUGUAAAAUAUAUCACUAACUCUGUUUCUAUCCUAGAAAUGAAUAUCAAUAUUUGUGUUUUGGCCUUUUCUGCAAUUAAAAAUGAUCAUGGGCAGUUAUGGCUGCUGGUUAAGAGAAAUAUGGUCAACCACAGGUCAUUCUAGAUUCUGAACAAGUAGAAACAUAUGAGAAAAAUCAAUUUGGGCUGGCUUACAGCUAACAAAGAUUUUAUGAAGAUUUUAAUUUGGAACUGCUAGGGAAUUGGGUAAUCCCAAACAGUGCAAGUUUUUAGUGAACUUCUUUGUAAAUAUCCCUCAUGUUUAGUUUUUGUUAUGAAAACUAAAAAUUAAAGACAAUAUAUACAUGACAAUGUUAUAAAGACUAUGGUUAUUUUCGCUCUAUGUUUGUUGAUUCAGUUUUCAAGGCAGUUUGUCAAUUUGAUCCUUGCUUUUGGUGUAAAAAUUUUAUGGACCGUCAUAUCAUUCUAAUGGCUACCAAGCUGUGUUGAAAAAUAAUUUUUAUUUAUGGAUGUUCUGAUAGAGUUUAUAGAGAUUAUUUAUGGAAUGACUUGGUUACUUUACGAUGAGAUGAAUCUCUGCUAUAAUAUGUUAUAUUGGUAAUUUUAAUAUUAUCUAAUCUUUUGCAGAUAAAUUAGAUAGAUAUACAAUGACGGCUUCCUAAGUAUCAAGUUUCAUUACUUUUAACUAAUGUUGUGCUACGUUGGAAUUGUCAUAGCAAGGAUAUCCAUAUACUUGGUUCAAUAAGCGUUUUGGCGCUCAAGAUAUACAACAGCGAUUGAAUAGAGUUUUGGUGUUAAUAGAGUGGCGUUAUUGCUUUUUGAGAGCUCAACUUAUCCAUAAAUCUUUAGUAGAGUCAAAUUAUAGAUCUUUAGUUUUGUUAUUGGACCCUUCUCUAGGUAUUCAUAAUUUUUUGUUCGCUUUGAAACUAAGUGGUUACUUCACCUUUAAUAUUCAAAUAUUAUUUCUUCUACAUGGCCUAUGCCUGUUUCUAGUUCUUUGCUCUUUUGUGCAAAGAUUAAAAGUUCAUAGAUGCUCUUUGAGCUGGUGGAGUAGUAGUGUCUUUAAGAGCUAUUUUUUGAAAAUGUAAUCUUUUCAGCAAUAAUAUGAUAGUUUUGCUGCUCCUCCAUUCUGUACUUCUCGACGCUUAUUUAGACAUAAGGUAUGUUUACUUCCUCCGAAUGAGACCUUAAAAUUUAAUACUGAUGCGGUAUGGAAGAAUCAGUUUUCUUCUAUCGGUAUUGCUAUAGUAAUUCAUGAUACUACUGGUAUUUUAUUGGAUGUAGUGGUUAAGUAUAUUUAGAGUUAUUCUCCUUUGAUACUAGAAGUUUUUACAGUUUUUUAGGCUCUUAACUUAGUUUUGAUUAGAAACUCAUUAAUGGUAAUACUUUAGAAUUCAUCUAAUCUGUUACUAAGAUAUCAAUUUUUUAUUAAAAUAUAUUAUUAUAUAUAAUAAAAAAAUAAUUUUAAACUAUUUUCAAAUUAUUAAUUUAAAAGUAUUAAGAUAACGUUAUCUUAUAACCACUACUAGAAUAUCGUUGCCUAAUGUAAUAGUGUCGACAAGGGAUAUGUGGUCAAGGUCCAUCUUGGCUCAUAAAAUAAACUAACAAAGCAUUUACAAAGGCUAAGCGCAUCCUACUAAGAAGCUUAGGAGGCUAGACUUCAACCUAAAGCAUUCUAGCUAGAAUCGUCCUUGUCAUCGCCACCAUGGCGGAAGGCUCCAAAUAGCAGACUAAAAGAAAAGAUUGAAACUUGAAAUCUCUAUGCAUGUCUAAAGAAACAUUCCUAGACACCAAUGAUAAAAUGAACAAACUUAGCUUCACAAAACAAAAAGGCUCUAUGAUUUGUCACAUGAGGAGAUCCAAUAAAAAAUCUUACCCAGCACAAACUUUUGUUUAUAAGCAUUAUUUUUUCAGUUAAAUUUCUAAAAUCCAGAAAAAGUUUAACGUGAGCAUUUAAACAUCCUUUCUAAGAAGCAACACAAACUGAAUCAGAGAGGAAAGUAGAACUAGAAGUGUAAAGCUCCAAUCUCACAAGCUCAACAUUGAAAGCUAACAGAAGGAAGAAACCGACACCAUGGCAAAUUUCAUUCUUUCAAAGCUAGGAAAGGAUCAUGUUAAGGUUUCUUACACUUCAUUGCCUGUUUCACCAGUCUUUACAAAAUUAUGACGACUAUCAAACAGUGAAAAAACUUUGUUUUAAUGACUACUCAAAUAGGCCAACCUCAUCAAUACCUUAAAAUUACCAAUAAUAAAUCUAAAACAAAGAACAUUCCCUUUCCAUGAACUUGGGUUUGCUCAAUCCAAAACUUUACACAAAUUAAAUUGAUAAGAAAUAAAAAUUGAAAAUUGUUGGAAGCGACCUGCUAAACAAUUCGACUUGAAUCUAACCUCUCUUUGAGACACAGUCGACUAGACAAUGAUUUCAUCUAUAUCUGAUCUCUUCACCCUGUUGAUCUAUCUGGCGUCAAUUUAAGAUGAUAUUUAUGUAAAUAUUUUUUCUUUUUUUAUUUGUUUUCUACUGUAUAAAAAGUUUUGUAUUUAUAGGGUUUUUUAAAUGGGAUAAACUUUGGAUAUAUUGUGACGUUUCUGUAAUGAAAAGCAACAACUUUCAUAUUUAAAUCGUGCGUGUUUUCGUUUCUACAUGGCUCACGAAAGGAACGCAUGGAGAAUUCAGGAAACAAGACAAGUUCUUUCAAUCCACCGCCUUGCUUGGUCUGCCAAAAGACCAACGCAGCUAGUUCCACCGCUUCACGUUAUCUUCUAGGGGAACAAACACAAUCCUUGAAAAAGUAGAGCAUCAUCACAAAAGGCAAGCACAACAGGAGUGCCACUCCAUCAUAACUAGCAACACUAAUUGAAAAAGGAGUAACACGCAACAACAGAGAAACUUCAGUCUUGGUUGGAAGACUUCGGGAAUAGGAUUGACGCUUUCAAAGGAGAGAAUAACAACAAAUAUCCUGCAAUUAGCUGAUCACAGCCAUCGUCACCAAAAACUUGGCCAUCAGGGAAGAAGAGUGGCUACAUGUUGCCCUUUCCGGCCGUGACCCAAACUAAAACUUAAAUUCACCAAACGGAGGAUUAAAAACUCAAAAAGUGAGACUGAACAGCUAAAAAAACAAAAGGAAUGGUGUGUCUUGUCAUGUCAUUAUUGCAUCCUCUAAGAAAAUAAGUAAAGACUGGUACACAGAAAGUCUGUGAAGAGAGGAAAGUUCGGAAAAGAGUUCGGUCUCCGGUUUUCGAUUUCGCCUUCUUGUUGGUAGUUCUGUGAUAUUGUUGGUGUUUUCCUCUGCCUCCAGGCAAGGGAAGGGAGUUUUGCUUGUACAGUUUUAGUCGGCUUGUUGUGGAUGGUUUCCCUUGCCGUCUUUCCUUUGAUGGCUUCCGUGGGUUUGCUUUGGUUUUUGCUUGGCUUUGCCUCUAGAUUGCGGAUUGUGCAAGAGAUAAGGUAAGGAGACUAAAAAAAAUAUUUGCUUAAUGAAAAUUAACUUGUU
rnacentral:lncRNA from 1 species